UAGGCUUGAUUAGUUUAGAUCAAUUCAGGGUGAUUCCAAAUUGAUUGACUUAUUCAAGUUAGUUUAACCUAAAUUGAACCUAAUCUAAUCCAAAUUAUACUAGUCUAGGGUAGUUCCAGACCAGUUAAAUAAGGAUUAGAGAUCGGUUCAGUUAGGUCCUAGUAAAUUGAGUUCAAUUGGACCAAUUGAACUAGAGUUCAAGUCAAUUGAGGGCUAAUUUGU
rnacentral:lncRNA from 1 species